CCAUGGUCCUCCUCCUUGGGGUCUGCGAGAGGAUGGAGGAGGCGGAGGAAGGAGAAGAUCUCGCGGAAGAGGAGGACACUAUCCUGCUACUACUCCCAUGCCCGCUUUUGUUCUUCUUCUUGUUGUUAUGCUUGGCAUUUUCUGAAGACCACAUCAGAGGAAGGGGAAGAUGAAGGCUUCUUGUGUGGUUUUUUGGGUGCGAUGGAGUGGAGAGAGUCACGGUGACAGACCGAACAAGUGGUGGUGCUUUGGUGACCACUAGAUUGAUGCUGUGUUCUUCCCACUCCUGUAGACUUUACCUUCUUUCCUCAGAGAAAUAAUAAAACUAUUUCUCGUACCAAGGUGCGCAAGCACACGUGCUUACGCAACUAAAUAUCCGCUAUCCUUCCCACUUAGCAGUAUCCGUCUGCUGCAUUAAUCACCAUCCUGAUGCUACCAGCGUUGGCAUAAAAAACGAGCCCACGGUCCGUAGAAAUACAUGUCAGUAGAGCGAGAGGACUGAGGAGCAAUGAGUAUGGGGGUGUGUGACAUAUUGAGCUAUUGAUUGAUGGGUU
rnacentral:lncRNA from 1 species